GGAGAGGGCGGGGGAGUGCGGAGGGAAUUGAGAGAGAGGUAGAAGAGGGAGAGGAAGGUGAGGACGGCGACGGUGAGGAGUGAGCCUUUGAGUGAGCAUAGCGGCGAGGAGGCGGCGGAGAAUGAGAGCUGCGGCGGUUUGGUGAUCGUCAUCGGACGGAUCUAAAUUGGAUUUUGACAAGUUCUAUCUCUCUGCAUUUGGUUCUUUUAGCUGUCUUUG
rnacentral:lncRNA from 1 species